GUUAAUCUGAAAAGAAAGACAAUUAGAUGUAAUGAACAGCAGCUGUGUCUCCUGAGGAUGAACUUUUUAAGCUCCUCUUGUUGUUGGAGUUCUCAUUCAGUGUCUGACAAGAUGGGAGCUGAGUCAGUGUUGGGCUUUGUCAUUCUGGCUGUUUGCUCUGGCAUUGCUUCAGGUUUGCCAGUUGAUAGAAAAAGCCAGAAUGCUGAUGAACUGCUGGGGACAGAAAAUGGAAUCUCCUCUUUAAGUAACAGCCUUGGUCUUCUGCAGUCAGUGGAUUCCAGUGUAAAUAACAUUAAAGAAGUUCAAAUGGAAACCAAUGAGGUAGAAGCGGAGACAUCACUUAAGAGACUUGGAAGCGUUUGGACUCGCAUAGCUGCUAGCAACCAGACUGUGUCCGACGCCGCCAGCAACCAGACUGUGUCCGACGCCGCCAGCAACCAGACUGUGUCCGACGCCGCCAGCAACCAGACUGUGUCCCGCCGCCAGCAACCAGACUGUGUCCGACGCCGCCAGCAACCAGACUGUGUCCGACGCCGCCAGCAACCAGACUGUGUCCGACGCCGCCAGCAACCAGACUGUGUCCGACGCCGCCAGCAACCAGACUGUGUCCGACGCCGCCAGCAACCAGACUGUGUCCGACGCCGCCAGCAACCAGACUGUGUCCGACGCCGCCAGCAACCAGACUGUGUCCGACGCCGCCAGCAACCAGACUGUGUCCGACGCCGCCAGCAACCAGACUGUGUCCGACGCCGCCAGCAACCAGACUGUGUCCGACGCCGCCAGCAACCAGACUGUGUCCGACGCCGCCAGCAACCAGACUGUGUCCGACGCCGCCAGCAACCAGACUGUGUCCGACGCCGCCAGCAACCAGACUGUGUCCGACGCCGCCAGCAACCAGACUGUGUCCGACGCCGCCAGCAACCAGACUGUGUCCGACGCCGCCAGCAACCAGACUGUGUCCGACGCCGCCAGCAACCAGACUGUGUCCGACGCCGCCAGCAACCAGACUGUGUCCGACGCCGCCAGCAACCAGACUGUGUCCGACGCCGCCAGCAACCAGACUGUGUCCGACGCCGCCAGCAACCAGACUGUGUCCGACGCCGCCAGCAACCAGACUGUGUCCGACGCCGCCAGCAACCAGACUGUGUCCGACGCCGCCAGCAACCAGACUGUGUCCGACGCCGCCAGCAACCAGACUGUGUCCGACGCCGCCAGCAACCAGACUGUGUCCGACGCCGCCAGCCAAGACUGUGUCCGACGCCGCCAGCAACCAGACUGUGUCCGACGCCGCCAGCAACCAGACUGUGUCCGACGCCGCCAGCAACCAGACUGUGUCCGACGCCGCCAGCAACCAGACUGUGUCCGACGCCGCCAGCAACCAGACUGUGUCCGACGCCGCCAGCAACCAGACUGUGUCCGACGCCGCCAGCAACCAGACUGUGUCCGACGCCGCCAGCAACCAGACUGUGUCCGACGCCGCCAGCAACCAGACUGUGUCCGACGCCGCCAGCAACCAGACUGUGUCCGACGCCGCCAGCAACCAGACUGUGUCCGACGCCGCCAGCAACCAGACUGUGUCCGACGCCGCCAGCAACCAGACUGUGUCCGACGCCGCCAGCAACCAGACUGUGUCCGACGCCGCCAGCAACCAGACUGUGUCCGACGCCGCCAGCAACCAGACUGUGUCCGACGCCGCGCAGCAACCAGACUGUGUCCGACGCCGCCAGCAACCAGACUGUGUCCGACGCCGCCAGCAACCAGACUGUGUCCGACGCCGCCAGCAACCAGACUGUGUCCGACGCCGCCAGCAACCAGACUGUGUCCGACGCCGCCAGCAACCAGACUGUGUCCGACGCCGCCAGCAACCAGACUGUGUCCGACGCCGCCAGCAACCAGACUGUGUCCGACGCCGCCAGCAACCAGACUGUGUCCGACGCCGCCAGCGGUUUCUUCUUUUGGUGAUCAGUCUUUUGCUUUGUAUUUCAAAUAAAUCAAUUUUAAUCGUAUUGGGACUUUCUACUUUUCUUUUGACCUUGUUGUCUGUCCCAGUAGAGUUCGUAAGAUAAAGGGAAGUUGGUGGAAGAAAAAUUUACCAUGAGACUCCGUUAGGAGGUAGUUUUGGAACUGCCAUGCAUUAGAUGAAAACUUGUGCAGAUAGCUUAUAGGAAGAUUGUGGCACUAAUUCCCAGACAAUUUUUAUAAAAUCCUAGUUGAGG
ensembl:lncRNA